CGGAGGGUGCGAGCGUUGUUCGGAAUUACUGGGCGUAAAGAGUGCGUAGGCGUUCGGCAAGCUGGAAGUGAAAUCCCGGGGCUCAACCUCGGAAUUGCUUUCAAAACUGCCGAUCUAGAGUAUGGUAGGGGAUAGUGGAAUUCCUAGUGUAGGGGUGAAAUCCGUAGAUAUUAGGAGGAACACCAGAGGCGAAGGCGACUAUCUGGGCCAUUACUGACGCUAAGGUACGAAAGCGUGGGGAGCAAACAGGAUUAGAUACCCUGGUAGUCCACGCUGUAAACGAUGGGUGCUAGUUAUUGGGACUUUAAGUUUCGGUGACGUAGCUAACGCGUUAAGCACCCCGCCUGGGGAGUACGGUCGCAAGAUUA
rnacentral:rRNA from 1 species